UACGUAGGGGGCUAGCGUUGUCCGGAUUUAUUGGGCGUAAAGAGCGUGUAGGCGGCCAGGCAGGUCUGUUGUGAAAACUGGAGGCUUAACCUCCAGACGUCGACAGAAACCGUCUGGCUAGAGUCCGGAAGAGGAGAGUGGAAUUCCUGGUGUAGCGGUGAAAUGCGCAGAUAUCAGGAAGAACACCAAUGGCGAAGGCAGCUCUCUGGGACGGUACUGACGCUGAGGCGCGAAAGCUAGGGGAGCAAACGGG
rnacentral:rRNA from 1 species